GAACGUUUGGUGCAAUACUUGGAGGUCUGCAGAGACUGUUGCUGUUGAUAGAUGUCAUCUCCUGUGAGUGCAGUUGGACAAGUUUCCUCAGAUGUGAACGACUCACAGGCAGCCUCUGACAGUCUCAUGACAGAAUGUUCUGGAGGUCAGAAGUCUGAAAUGAGAUAAUGUGUACAACUUGCCUGGGUCCAGCUGGUGUGUCCACAUAUCAAAUUCUAGUCCAUGUGAU